rnacentral:misc_RNA from 1 species
UUUAAGAUCCAAGACACAACCAUAAUAUCAGCUCUUUGGCAUUACCAAAUCCCAACUUAUCCUUUGCUUUAAGAGUAAUUAUCAUUGACUGAAUCCAUGAAAGAUAAUUCCCGCCAGUUGGAGGAAUGCUUACCAAAUUCAAGCUAGGAUGAUCAGAGUUUUGCAGAUUCAGUGGAUCAUUACUCAGAUCGGCUGUUGCCUCUUGACCUUCAUUUCUUGGAUCCACAACAAUGCUAAGCUCCUUCCAUCGAACUCUUAUCUCAGACAAUCAGGAAGAUUACUGCAACUGAUCUAGGCAAAGAACGAGAAACAAACAGGAAUUACUGUAAUUGUAAAGCCCUCAUGCUCUGAUACCAUAAAAAGUAUCAUCAAAGCAGAGCAAAGAAAAGAAAAAACCAGAGUUCUAAUGAAUGAAAUUGUCAUAUAUUUAUCAAUAGCUGAAAAGUGUUUAUAUACAAGAUGGGAAAAAAAAAAAAA